GCGCGAUUAGCUCAGGGGUAGAGCACCUGAUUCACACUCAGGGGGUCGCAGGUUCGAAACCUGCAUCGCGCACCA
rnacentral:tRNA from 2 species